UGGGGAAUAUUGGACAAUGGGCGCAAGCCUGAUCCAGCCAUGCCGCGUGGGUGAAGAAGGCCUUCGGGUUGUAAAGCCCUUUUGUCCGGAAAGAAAAGCAUUCGGUUAAUACCCGGGUGUCCUGACGGUACCGGAAGAAUAAGCACCGGCUAACUUCGUGCCAGCAGCCGCGGUAAUACGAAGGGUGCAAGCGUUACUCGGAAUUACUGGGCGUAAAGCGUGCGUAGGUGGUUCGUUAAGUCCGAUGUGAAAGCCCUGGGCUCAACCUGGGAAUGGCAUGGGAUACUGGCGGGCUAGAGUGCGGUAGAGGGCAGUGGAAUUCCCGGUGUAGCAGUGAAAUGCGUAGAGAUCGGGAGGAACAUCUGUGGCGAAGGCGACUGCCUGGACCAGCACUGACACUGAGGCACGAAAGCGUGGGGAGCAAACAGGAUUAGAUACCCUGGUAGUCCACGCCCUAAACGAUGCGAACUGGAUGUUGGGUGCAACUAGGCACUCAGUAUACG
rnacentral:rRNA from 1 species